GGAAUCAAUUCUUAUUUAAUAUACACAUGCAAGUCUCCGCACCCCUGUGAAAACGCCCUAAUAACCCCAGUAGGGAAUAGGAGCUGGUAUCAGGCACAACCUCCUUGCCCAAAACACCUAGCCUCGCCACACCCACAAGGGCCCUCAGCAGUGAUAAACAUUAAGCAUAAGCGACAGCUUGACUCAGUUAAAUUACCCAGAGCCGGCCAAUCUGGUGCCAGCCGCCGCGGUUAUACCAGAAGCUCAAAUUGAUUUCUAUCGGCGUAAAGCGUGAUUAAAGAUUUAAAUUUUUGGAGUCCAACUAAAAUUAAGCUGUGACACGCCUGCUACCUAAGAAGACCUGAAACGAAAGUUAUUCCAA
rnacentral:rRNA from 1 species